GUAAUUUCAUUCCUCACCCAACGUUAGGUUCAUAAGAACUGGGGACUUUUUUUUCCCCACCUAUGCGGCCAUAAAUAAUAUUGCUUCUCUACGAUUAUUGCCAAUGUUGUUCUGGGAGAUUUUAUCAUUCCAUAAAUAAUAUACCAAAUAACCACUUCACAAAGUUAUUGUCUCUCCUCAAACUAUAAUAUUUCAACAUCAAUGUUUUUAACUCCACUUUUUCUUGUCCCUUGAAAUAAUUUCCUCAUUAUUU
rnacentral:misc_RNA from 1 species